rnacentral:rRNA from 1 species
AAGACCUUGCGCUUUUGGAGCGGCCGACGUCUGAUUAGCUUGUUGGUGAGGUAAAAGCUCACCAAGGCUUCGAUCAGUAGCUGGUCUGAGAGGACGGCCAGCCACACUGGGACUGAGACACGGCCCAGACUCCUACGGGAGGCAGCAGUGGGGAAUUUUGGACAAUGGGGGCAACCCUGAUCCAGCCAUGCCGCGUGAGUGAAGAAGGCCUUCGGGUUGUAAAGCUCUUUCAGCCGGAACGAAACGGUUACGAUUAAUACCCGUGACUACUGACGGUACCGGAAGAAGAAGCACCGGCUAACUACGUGCCAGCAGCCGCGGUAAUACGUAGGGUGCAAGCGUUAAUCGGAAUUACUGGGCGUAAAGCGUGCGCAGGUGGUCUUGUAAGUCAGAUGUGAAAUCCCCGGGCUUAACCUGGGAACU